rnacentral:lncRNA from 12 species
AUUUUGUAGGUGUAACAUCUCAGCCCACACAGCCCACCUGCUCCGAUCUCUGUUUCAUCUUUAACAACUGGUGUUUUUAACAGUGGUGCUGACUCUGGAUUAGCUACGGAAGCAUGAAGCGACCAGAGAGAUGUGAGUCACCGGGCCCGUUGAGAGGAGCCUGGAGCCAGCUGUCCAGCGGAUGGCUCCAGGCCCCCUGCCCUGUCAGAAGGGAGAAGGUCGUGGACCCAAGUGUGGCUGCUGGUGGGAGACGAGUAAACAGAGGACAAUAAUGGGGCCGUGGGGGUGCAGGAGGAAGAAGUAUAAUGAGGUGAAAACCUUCUCCACAUGCAGGUGUCACCUCCAAGGCUUUCCCUUUCCCUCCCCGUCUGCUGUGGCAAGGAUGGUCCAUGGACAUUGUAGAUUCUCAGAAUGCCUUCCAGAGUUUGGAGAUGUUCUGAGGAGUGGCUUCCCAGCCACGGACCACUCUUCCCAACCUUCUUUGCAUUUCAACGGGACCAUAUGAAGGUGGGGCCAAUGGAAGUUCAGAGGAAGUAAAGCGGACUAUGUCCAGCCUGAGGAAUUACACACUGCUGUGGCCCAACCCUUUCUUUGCCUGACCUGAGGAACCUGGGUUAGGAGAACCACAGAGCAAAAGGAGUUCCCGUUUAAAAUGAUUUCGACAUCAAGAUGUGAUGGAUUUGUACCCUGAUAUGCUGAAGUAAGUUUUGUUAGUUAUUCCAGUCACUAUCCAGGGUGAUUCAAUGACUUCUGCAGGGCUGGAGAGCAGUGCAGCCCUGUCUCUGAGAACAGCUUUCACAUGCAUAUUCACCACAUAUAGGAAAAUGCAAGGACUGCAUUCUGGAUGAGAUGGGAUUGCUUGCAUAGAUCAGCAUGUCUGCUGAAACAGUAAGAAAUGCCAAGUCAAAUACAAAUAGAUUAUGUGUGAGGUCGUUAGUGAGCUAAUGAUGCAGUGGGGCCCAGAGAGGCCAAGAUUUCAGACGAGAGAACCUCAGAAGGCUAAGCUGGAUCUCUGGAGCUGUUUUCCCUGGGGGCAUUGGCCAAAUCUGUUCACAGAGCGAGAGACUGAGAAUCUGGGGUUUGCCCAGUCAGAGGACUGGCACUUAGUAGGGGCAAGAAACAUCAUUAUAGAGAUGCUGCACAGGGUAAGAGGCUAAAGUCACCCAAAUUACCCUGAAAGUGGACUGGAAUCCAAAGAUAAAGCAGACGAAGUAAAGGGAACCACAGAUCAUUCUCAUGAGAAAUAAUAGAAAAUAAGUUUCAUGUAACUAUGAUUAAUACACAUAAGGAAAUAGAAAAAAAGAGAGAAAAACCAGAGAAUUUCAACAGAGAACCAAAAUCUCUAAUUAGGAAACAAAUGAAGCAGAAGUAAAAUAUACAUUAUCUGAAAUUAGAAGCUCAAUAGUGAGUUUAACUGCAGGAUUAGUCUUUUGAUAUGAAAAUGGCAUACACAAAAAAUUUAACACAGACUAGAUCUAAAAGUUGAAGCUGUAACACUGCUGGAG